rnacentral:tmRNA from 1 species
GGGGGCGACCGGCUUCGACAGGGUCAGGACGUCUCUUGGUUGCGAGCCGAGGUGCCGUAUGGUCCUCGUAAAACAACGGCAAAACAAGUAAGUGCGGAAACUCAGUACGCAUACGCUGCUUAAGUCUUAGCAGCCGUUCCUCCGCCCCGAUCCGGUAGGGGCGAGUAGGAGCGUCAUCAAAUCCGGAUAGUUGUGGCUCCCGCCGCCUUAGGGGGCCCCGGCGAAAGCAAUAAGGCUGGUCGCGAGGAUGCCCGUCCACCGGCUUACCUCGCGAUGAGACAAAACGGUGGACUACGCUCGUAGACGCCAGGAGUGCGCCGAUUCUGGAAGGGGGUUCGAUUCCCCCCGCCUCCACCA